GAGGGAUUAGCCCAAAAUAUAGAAUUGCUAAGGUGAUAAAUAUCUUUCAAAGAAUUGUGGUUAAUGCAUGUUGUUGGGGUCAAAAUCGGUUACGACGAAAUCAACGUCAGAAAAGACGUCCGAGAAAACUUUCUCUUUAUUAAAAAAAAAUGAAGUCGGGAAAGAACCAAAAAACUAUCAAAAGUCUAAGGAUCAGUUCUCGUCAAAACAAAUAAACUUGAUCAUCGAACACGGAUUCAGCUCGGCCAUUUGCUGAGCUGGACCCAACACAGAUUUAGCUCGGCCGUUCGCCUAGCUGGAACAACCGCGGAUUCAGCUCGGCCGUU
rnacentral:lncRNA from 1 species